AUCUGGGCGGCGGAUAUCAGGAUGGCCGGCGUGCUUUCGCGGCGCGUCGGUCGUUUGAUAUAUCCGUCGCCAAUCACCCGCAGACGUCGCGACCUGUUCGCGGUCGGUCCUUGCUCGGAGGAGCCGCGUUCGAGUUCGUUGCGUGUGCGCGUUUCGGCGUGCCACGCGGCGAAGGCGCGGAUCUCUGGCUGGCCGUCGGACAGUAUGCCUAACGGUGUCCGGUGUCGUCGUCUUGUACGCGCGCGCACCGGUACCGGUCAGCGACGAAUUCUUCGGGCCUCUUUCCGACCCGUCUUGAAACACGGACCAAGGAGUCUAACAUGCGCGCGAGUCGCGGGGUGUCGAGCGUACCUCGGUACGUUCGUUACGUUGCGAAACCCGUACAUGUCGAAGGCGUAAUGAAAGUGAAUGGGGAAGAUGGUGUUCCGAGUACACGUUCCGCGAUCGCUGGUAUCGCGGCCGGACAUCCGCAUUCCCGGGGCGUCUCAACGGCCCGCCGCCGAUGCGGACAGUCGUCUCUCGGGGCGGCUGUCGGUCGGCGUCGAACCGA
rnacentral:rRNA from 1 species